rnacentral:rRNA from 1 species
AUUGAACGCUGGCGGCAGGCCUAACACAUGCAAGUCGAGCGGAUGAAGGGAGCUUGCUCCUGGAUUCAGCGGCGGACGGGUGAGUAAUGCCUAGGAAUCUGCCUGGUAGUGGGGGAUAACGUCCGGAAACGGGCGCUAAUACCGCAUACGUCCUGAGGGAGAAAGCGGGGGAUCUUCGGACCUCACGCUAUCAGAUGAGCCUAGGUCGGAUUAGCUAGUUGGUGGGGUAAAGGCCUACCAAGGCGACGAUCCGUAACUGGUCUGAGAGGAUGAUCAGUCACACUGGAACUGAGACACGGCCCAGACUCCUACGGGAGGCAGCAGUGGGGAAUAUUGGACAAUGGGCGAAAGCCUGAUCCAGCCAUGCCGCGUGUGUGAAGAAGGUCUUCGGAUUGUAAAGCACUUUAAGUUGGGAGGAAGGGCAGUAAGUUAAUACCUUGCUGUUUUGACGUUACCAACAGAAUAAGCACCGGCUAACUUCGUG